rnacentral:tRNA from 1 species
GCCUUCGUGGUGCAAUGGUCAGCACACUCGGAGUGUGUUCGAGAAGUCCAGGGUUCGAGUCCCGGCGAGGGCA